UGGGGAAUAUUGCACAAUGGGGGAAACCCUGAUGCAGCAACGCCGCGUGAGUGAUGACGGCCUUCGGGUUGUAAAGCUCUGUCCUCAAGGAAGAUAAUGACGGUACUUGAGGAGGAAGCCCCGGCUAACUACGUGCCAGCAGCCGCGGUAAUACGUAGGGGGCUAGCGUUAUCCGGAAUUACUGGGCGUAAAGGGUGCGUAGGUGGUUUCUUAAGUCAGAGGUGAAAGGCUACGGCUCAACCGUAGUAAGCCUUUGAAACUGGGAAACUUGAGUGCAGGAGAGGAGAGUGGAAUUCCGAGUGUAGCGGUGAAAUGCGUAGAUAUUAGGAGGAACGCCGGUGGCGAAGGCGACUUUCUGGCCCUAUACUGACGCUGAGGUGCGAAAGCGUGGGGAGCAAACA
rnacentral:rRNA from 1 species